rnacentral:tRNA from 1 species
AAAGCUUUAGCUUAAUUAAAGUGUCUGUUUUGCAUACAGGAGAUGUGAGCUAAUAUCUUGCAAGUUUUA